UAAUUGACCAUUUGCGUAAUAGACUAAAUUUUGAUCUCAACAAAAAUUUCAUUACAGCUUUAAAGAGCAUCACAAAAUUAGUAAUAUUCCAAAGUUUCGUUGCAAAAUGUUGUAAAAUGCGGAAAAUAUAGCCUUACGAAAUUUUCAAUUUUCAGUCAUUUUAGAUUACAAACCGGAAAUUGACAGCCUCGAAGGGUUUGGGGCUGUCAAUAUCCCGUUUGUAAUCUAAAAUGACUGAAAAUUGCAAAUUUCGUAAGGCUAUAUUUUCCGCAUUUUACAACAUUUUGCAACGAAACUUUGGAAUAUUACUAAUUUUGCGAUGCCCCUUCAAGCUGUGAUGAAAUUUUUGUCUAGACUUGUUUAGUUCAAAAUUUAGUCUAUUGCGCAAAUGGUCAAUU
rnacentral:lncRNA from 1 species